AGUGAACGCUGGCGGCAGGCCUAACACAUGCAAGUCGAGCGGCAGCGGGUCCCCGCGAGGGGAUGCCGGCGAGCGGCGGACGGGUGAGGAACACAUCGGAAUCUGCCUGGUUGUGGGGGAUAACGUAGGGAAACUUACGCUAAUACCGCAUGCGACCCUGAGUUCGACGGACUUGGGGUGAAAGUGAGGGACCUUCGGGCCUCACGCGACCAGAUGAGCCGAUGUCGGAUAGCUAGUUGGCGGGGUAACGGCCCGCCAAGGCGACGAUCCGUAGCUGGUCUGAGAGGAUGAUCAGCCACACUGGGACUGAGACACGGCCCAGACUCCUACGGAGGCAGCAGUGGGGAAUCUUGGACAAUGGGCGCAAGCCUGAUCCAGCCA
rnacentral:rRNA from 1 species